rnacentral:misc_RNA from 1 species
GUUGGUGAACCAGCGGAGGGAUCAUUACAGAGUUGCAAAACUCCCAACCAUUGUGAACCUACCUUACCGUUGCUUCGGCGGGUGGCCAGGGGUAACCCAGGCCGCGCCGGCCCCCCUCGCGGGGCUGGCAACCCGUCAGAAGCCUGAAACUCUAGCAUAUUGGCCUCUCUGAGUAAACUUAAUUAAUAAAUUAAAACUUUUAACAACGGAUCUCUUGGUUCUG